CAGGUGGGAAAAUCUGAACAGAGAUAUAGAGAGAAAGUAGGGGGAGUCAGAGAGAUGCCAUGCAGCCACCAACCAGAACUUUACCAAUAGGCCACAACCUCGUGGUGAUACACAGAUUAAUAGAAAUGGGUUAAUUUAAGAUACAAAAGUUAGCCAGGAAUAUGUCUAAGUUAUUGACCAAAACAGUGUUGCAGUUAAUAUAGUUUCUGUGUGAUUAUCCGGGUCUGGUGGCUGGGAACAAACAAGCAGUCUCCUUCUACAGAGAAGGAAGAGGGGGGAAGUAGACUGUGACAUACUCAUAAAAUGGAAAAGGUGGACUAGAGCCUAACACACCAGUGUGGAAAACUCCACACACUUUUCUAGCCCAAGGUCAGAAGCUGCAUUUAAAAAUUAGGUUCCUGGACUGGAGAGAUGGCUCAGCCAUUAAAGGCUAGGCUCACAACCAAACAUAAAAGUCAAGUUCCUACAUCUCAUUUAAGCUGAGACAUCUCCCAUCCUGCUCUGUUGUUUGUGCCCUUGCCUCCUUCUGAGAAUAUUGGCAAAGGACUUGACAGGAUGUUUCUCCAUGUAUCUGGCUUGAUACAGGUUUUGGCUGGUAGUGAUGCCACAGGAUGAGCCACGUCCUCAUUGAUCACCAAUAGGCGGGGCACAGUCAUAGGGAUGGUGGCUUGGAUUCCAUGGUGAGAUGGCAUUGGCCUAUGUCUCACCUGGGAGUUGUCACUCUCCAUGUAACACACAUCUUGUGUAGAGUCACUGAGACUACAUGAUUGUCCGGCUUCUGAUAAAGUACCCUGAAGGAGAUUUGUUAAUAUUAGUGAUUCCUGACUGAAUUGAUAGUUAUUAUAACAAGCAUCAAACAGUGCUGCCUGGAGCCCAUGCUCCUGUGUUUAUGGCUUGUGAAACUUCUGUGUGUGUGGAGGGGGGGGGUCUCUUCCCUAUUAAUUCAUGUCUUCAGUAAUUGCUUUUUGUCAGAUUGAACCAUGGCUUCUUAUUUUCAAUUCUGUGAGGUAUAACUUUCCUCUUCUCAUGGUUUAUUUGUUCUAAGUAUUGUAGAUUUGGCUAAUGAAAACUCUGCCAGCUGGAUCCAGGGUCCUUUUGUGCUCUGUGUCAUUUAAUCACAGCACUGUGUCCACAGUCACUUAGGCCAGUUCCUCUGACAAGAAGACACAACGUCUCCAGCUGCCUAGGUGCUUCAUUUUACAGCAACAGCGGAAACAGCAAGAGAAAGUCUUACAAGUGGACUGUCCUGUGCAGUCUUCCUCAGACAAGUGCCUCUGGAAGUUCCCCACUGCGGGGUGUGUUUGUGUUCUCCCCUUCUUGCUACCACGCAGCAUUCCAUUGCAGCUGUGAACCCUCCCUCCUCUCCUUAUCUACUCACCAGCUGUCUUUGGGAGAUAAGAAAGCGCUCUACAAAAGGCGUGGAAGCACAUGCCUGUUGGGGAAUAUUAUUUUCAGGUCCAAAGCCGAGUCAAAGACUGGAGCAAACGCUUUAUGAUGUCAUUAGAGAUAACACCUCCAAAUUCUUGAUCUUGAGACUCUCAGAUUCGAAGAUGCCAGCCUGCAGGCAUUCCAGCCAUCAAAUCUACUUUUCUAAAAGGAAGCAAGAAGGAUCCAGUCUUCCUAAUUUAACGCAAUACCUUCUGCUUAUAUCUCAUGGACGACUUCCAGCAGCAAAGUGACUGGCAGAGGGGCACUGUGAUUAAAAAUGAAGUUCUGCCACUAUACAUAGUAAAGUUGUAUGUACAAAGCUC